UACGAAGGGGGCUAGCGUUAAUCGGAAUUACUGGGCGUAAAGCGUGCGCAGGCGGUUCGCUAAGACCGAUGUGAAAUCCCCGGGCUUAACCUGGGAACUGCAUUGGUGACUGGCGGGCUAGAGUAUGGCAGAGGGGGGUAGAAUUCCACGUGUAGCAGUGAAAUGCGUAGAGAUGUGGAGGAAUACCGAUGGCGAAGGCAGCCCCCUGGGCCAAUACUGACGCUCAUGCACGAAAGCGUGGGGAGCAAACAGG
rnacentral:rRNA from 1 species